AGCAGUCGCCGCGGGAAUACGGAGGGUGCAAGCGUUAUCCGGAUUUAUUGGGUUUAAAGGGUCCGUAGGCGGACUUAUAAGUCAGUGGUGAAAGCCUGUCGCUUAACGAUAGAACUGCCAUUGAUACUGUAAGUCUUGAGUAUAUUUGAGGUAGCUGGAAUAAGUAGUGUAGCGGUGAAAUGCAUAGAUAUUACUUAGAACACCAAUUGCGAAGGCAGGUUACCAAGAUAUAACUGACGCUGAGGGACGAAAGCGUGGGUAGCGAACAGGAUUAGAUACACCAGUAGUCCCUGUCUCUUAUAC
rnacentral:rRNA from 1 species